rnacentral:sRNA from 1 species
UAUAUAUAUAUAUAUAUAAUGUUUUCUCACCCCCUAAUUUGAUUGGCAGGGGUCUAAUACUGUGUGUGUGUGUUUCAUGUAGUUUCUGUCACAUCUUUGUAAUGUGUUUGUCCGAGAGGUGGACUUAGGUAAUAGAAGUCUACUCCUGACAUAGGUUUAGUUGGUGUGUAAGUACACAUGUGUUGGGUUAGAGUUGUGUAGUCUCUGUGUGUGUGUUCUAUACAGACCCAACACUAGUCCUGAAGGAUAGAAAGAUGUCCUUAUUUUAUAAGUGGUGAAACAUUUCAACCAACUGACGCGCCGCGCAAUGGUCAAACUACAAAAGCGACUUCCUGUGCAGAGGAAAGCAGACGACAGUUAUGUUUUCAUACUUCUAACUGCACUCCUUGAUGCAUGUCAUUCUUACAUCAGGUCCAUGCCAUCAGUUGCCCAAUGGUUAGUUUGGUUUUAGACCUACUGCAACUCGCGCUUGUAAAACGAUGCACAAAGCAAUUAGUAUCACAGGGGAGAUACACUUUUAAGGAGACAGGACUCAUUUCACCGAGGUCUCGCCACAGAAUCUUGUAUACACGUCUUAUAAAUGUCGUUGACUACUCGACUCACACCAAACUAUCCCCGCUUCCUUUAUAAUUCCAUGUAAGCUAGAAAACAGUUCAAAACUCACUCAGAGAUUUUUAAUGUGUUACCUGAGCUGAGCGUUGCUUCCCCUGCCCGAAUAAUGUUGCUAAGAAUUCAUGAAAUCGUUUAGAUCCUUGGUUGCAAGGUUGGAACCCUGGUGGAGUCCUCUCAUUUUGGAAAUAAUGCCUCAUUUGUUAAAAUUUGCACAGGGCUGUAAGAUUCCAUUACGUGACCAGGUUACAGCCACAUCUCAAAACCCUACAUACCAAAAUACAUGUUUCUACUCUAGAGAGUUACCCUAAGGGCGGUAACUAUCUUUGAUAUUACUAGAAGACAAGUAAAAAAAAAGUUAUCCUAUAUCUUAAAUAUUUCAAAAUGUCAAAAUGGUUUAGUGUGCAAAACAAAAUAGCAGAUACAUUUUAGUUAAUAAAAAAAUAUAUUUUAAUCUCCGAGUUUAUUGCGUCUUUUAAUUAUACGGCCUGUCUCUACGAAUGUUCUAUGUAGGUCGCGACAGGCUGAUGGUGUUGUUUGGCAGAGAACAAAACUGUCUGAGUGAAAUGUGUAUUCAAAAAGGCGGCAGACUUGACAAGUGUUACUUCUGCUUCUCCAAGUGUCACGCAGUUUGGAUAUCAACACGCUACAGUGCAGGGGACAACUCGCCAUGGCCUUUUAAGUUGGGUUGUUACUUCCCUUUACAAACAGCAUUUGUGAAACACCAAGCGGGGUGGGGGAAUUUGGAAUAUUUUGGUCAUAUUUUUUAAAAAUAUAUUUAUUAUCAAUUGUCACUAAUUAUAUCAUUAGUCAAACAGAUCAUUACUUAACAUGUAAUUUUGCAGGAACAGCUAGGUAUUUUACACAAACUGCGGUCAAGUUUCCAAAAAUCAAUGGUUUUUUUUGUCAAUGUGAUUUUAUGAAAGCUCAAUGGUACUAGAAUUCACGAGCCAAAAAGUUUGUGCCCAGCAGAAGACUCUAAACAGUUUUUUAAAGACCAAUUAUCGAAACUUGUUUUUAAUGGUAUUGCUGGAGUACACUAGGUUUUUAAUAUUAUGCAUACUUAAGUUUUUCGCUGUUUUUUUUGUUUUGUUUUUCUAUUUCAUUUUGGCCCACCAAAUUCACUUCGCCUAGGGCCUUCAAUCAUUUAAAGCAGGCCCUGGUCGCGGUGCGCUAUGAUGUUUGUCGUUACACUGAAGGCUACAGCUCAAUGUGAGAGGAGGUACUAGGUUCUAAUCAAAGAGAUAUCUCAAUGUGAGAGGAGGUACUAGGUUCCAAUCAAAGAGAUAUCUCAAUGUGAGAGGAGGUACUAGGUUCCAAUCAAAGAGAUAUCUCAAUGUGAGAGGAGGUACUAGGUUCCAAUCAAACAGAUAUCUCAAUGUGAGAGGAGGCACUGGGUUCUAAUCAAAGAGAUAUCUCAAUGUAGGGAAGAACAACUACAACUAACGAGAGUCCUCCUGUUGGACGGAGCAAGUCCCUGUCGGACAUAAAGAUGGAAGAAGCAAGGCAAAGAGCUAAUAGAAUUCAGUUGCCCAAAGUGUGAGGGGAGUGUGCUGGCCGGAUAGAAUAGAACGUUCUGACUAAUUAAUCAAGCUUGGGGAUUAGCUAGUACACUAUCUUACUUAUUUAUACUACUUACAAAUCAGUGUAUUUAAAAAAAAAA